rnacentral:rRNA from 1 species
UACGAAGGGGGCUAGCGUUGCUCGGAAUCACUGGGCGUAAAGGGUGCGUAGGCGGGUCUUAAGUCAGGGGUGAAAUCCUGGAGCUCAACUCCAGAACUGCCUUUGAUACUGAAGAUCUUGAGUUCGGGAGAGGUGAGUGGAACUGCGAGUGUAGAGGUGAAAUUCGUAGAUAUUCGCAAGAACACCAGUGGCGAAGGCGGCUCACUGGCCCGAUACUGACGCUGAUGCACGAAAGCGUGGGGAGCAAACAGG